CUCACAAGAGGUAUCGGGAAAGUUUUUCGCUAUAGGAUGAGGCUGCGGCCUAUCAGCUAGUUGGGGAGGUAACGGCUCACCAAGGCUAUGACGGGUAGCUGGUCUGAGAGGAUGAUCAGCCACACUGGAACUGAGACACGGUCCAGACUCCUACGGGAGGCAGCAGUGGGGAAUUUUACACAAUGGGCGAAAGCCUGAUGUAGCAACGCCGCGUGGAGGAUGACGGAUUUAGGUCUGUAAACUCCUUUUAUAGGGGAAGAAAUUUGACGGUACCCUAUGAAUAAGCGCCGGCUAACCCCGUGCCAGCAGCCGCGGUAAUACGGGGGGCGCAAGCGUUACUCGGAAUCACUGGGCGUAAAGGGAGCGUAGGCGUUCUAUUAAGUCUCGAGUGAAAUCCCGCAGCCUAACUGCGGAACUGCUCGGGAAACUGAUAGAAUAGAGUAUGGAAGAGGUAGGUGGAAUUUCCAGUGUAGGGGUAAAAUCCGUAGAUAUUGGAAGGAAUACCAGAAGCGA
rnacentral:rRNA from 1 species